UGUGAAUGGUGCAUGGGAGGCACGUGGUGUCAUUUAAGUGGGUUUUAUGGCCUGGAAGAGCUGACAAACCUUCGAUAUAUACACAUCAUAUAUAAUCUUAACUGUCCGGAAUCGCAGCUGCUGGCUUAGCCUUAUCGGAGUAAGAAAGGGCUUUUGUGGCAGUGAGGGUGCACCUUUCUCCGGACUGUAUGCUAGGCGGAUGGUAUUGGGGCAAUACUGGAGUAGCUGUAAGAGCCAACUCUUGCCAGAGCUUUUCUGGGACACCUGGCUCUAAUUAGGCUAAAUAAAAGAGAGAGGAAAUCGUAGGCAUGGGGCGAGGCUGAAUUAAUCAUUAAGGUAGUGAAAACUGUGCAACACUGCCAAAUGAUUUCGUCCUUUGCCCGCGGCCAACAUAAGAGAAAUAAAGAUGGGGCGAAAUGAGGGGAAUGGUAUCAAGGAUCUACCUAUUCGACGCCCAGGUGUCACGUUGGAAGGUUGUCUAUUUUUACCCAAUGGAAUAUAAAGCUUGAUUCCGAAAUCUAUUUGGUCAAAUAGUUCCAUGACAAAGAUGUGAACGAAUUGCAUACGGAUCUUGGGAUCUUGAGCUCCACAUGGGAAGAGUGGCAUCAAGACUAAAGUCGACCAAUAAACCAUAGCUGCAGGGCAUUUCUUUUUUGUAAUGUUGAUUGUUACUGUUAAUAUUGGUUCCAACUUAAAAUAUAACGUACUAUGACACCGUGAUUUGCACCUAGGCCAAACCUACCAUUCAAUUUCCACCUUCUGCAUUCUGCAUUUGUCCUACUGGAAUCGUGGCUCGUGCGGUUCGGUUAUUUACACGUUGGACGGGUUUGUCUCCACCCCGGGCUAUCAUAACUUCCCUUAGAAUACUGGAAAGCCUACCAUUUUCACCCACUAGGGAAGAGUAAAAGUUAAAGGGCUAUUAGGGUUUACGUGCUGAUUAAAAGUGUAUCAUAAACAUUUUCAUCAGGGUUGCUUAUUGCUCUGUAGCCCACUGCAAAGCAAUAAAUGAACUGUCUCAUUCCAGGUUAGGUCUGUAACCAGGACUUGUUAACCAAUGUAAUACAUUGGGCCUAGCCCCUUUAAGAUCCCAAAUGUAUUUAGUUGAUGUAGUUUACACAUGCAUACUUGUGUAAACAUGCUUGUAUAGCCGUUAUUCUGCAGGAAAAUGGAAGCUAUGCUAUUUCUCAAAUGAAUAAAUGAAACAUCAAAUUAGGCCUGAGGGCCUAUUUUUUUCCACUUCUACAUUAUAACUAGUUAUUGAACUAGGUGCACAAUCUGAAAGCCAUUUGUGGGAUGAAAGAAUUCAUUGCAGUUUCUCCAUCAAUAAUCCUUGGCAGUGAACUAUUGGAAGCAGUCACACGCGAGGGGUGAGACGCAGGUCAGGCUGUCUAACUAAUAUUAAAAUGCGCCCACAAAAAUAGUAGGCCGAGGAAGGGGGUAUGGUAUGCAUGUAUGGGUUUUCUUUGGGUUAUAAAAACAACCAAACAAAAACAGACAAACAGACAAAUAUUUCAUGACUUGCAUGCCUAAACGAGCAACACAUCUGCUGGAUAUUUCGGGGUUGGUUCCCUGUAGAAGCCGUAUCCUCGCC
ensembl:lncRNA